rnacentral:tRNA from 1 species
UUGAUUAGAAGCCAAAAAGAGGCUUAUUAUUGUUAAUAAUAAAACUGAACAAUAAGUUCCUAUCAAG